rnacentral:rRNA from 1 species
UACGGAGGGGGCUAGCGUUGUUCGGAAUUACUGGGCGUAAAGCGCACGUAGGCGGCUUUGCAAGUCAGAGGUGAAAGCCCGGGGCUCAACCCCGGAAUUGCCUUUGAGACUGCAUCGCUAGAAUUGUGGAGAGGUAAGUGGAAUUCCGAGUGUAGAGGUGAAAUGCGCAGAUAUCAGGAGGAACACCAAUUGCGAAGGCAGCUCGCUGGGACGUGACUGACGCUGAGACGCGAAAGCGUGGGGAGCAAACAGG